UUGUGACCUUUUCCCUGAGACCUCUGCUGUGACAGUACACAGAGUCACAGUAUGAGCACCUCAGGGGCCAGGUUCCA
rfam:Anisakis simplex genome assembly, scaffold: ASIM_scaffold0000181